GGAAGCGUGGGGAUUUUGCACAUAGGGGAGAAAGGCUGGACAGGAUGGAGCCGGGGGACGACAAUUGGCAGGGGGGAAAAGGGUCGAUUUUGCUGUAAUUCCUCCUGGGGAGCGAUGUGGCUUUUCUUGCAGAGAAGGCUGCUGCCUGUAAGAAAUCGAAGGGUCUGCAAGCUCUUCUGCAGGUUAUAUUGCCAACCUGCAAAGAGGGACACCAUCUUUGCCUUGUCUUCUGGCCAAGGAAAAUGUGGAGUGGCUGUGAUUCGAACCAGUGGCCCAGCUAGCUGUUCAGCCUUGCUCUGCAUGACCGGGACAAAGAACCCACCACCUCCAAGAACAGCUACUUUACGUAGGAUCUGUGAUCCCAGCUCUUCUGAAAUCCUGGACCGAGGCCUUGUACUAUGGUUCCCAGGACCAGGUAGUUUCACAGGUGAGGACAGUGUUGAGUUCCAUGUGCAUGGCGGCCCAGCUGUGGUGAGUGGCGUCUUGAAUGCUUUGGGUGCACUUCCUGAGCUGCGGUUUGCUGAACCCGGAGAAUUCACCAAACGGGCCUUCCAGAACGGCAAGCUAGACCUCACAGCAGCUGAAGGCCUAGGAGACCUGAUUCAUGCUGAGACGGAAGGGCAGCGUCGGCAGGCCUUACGUCAGAUGGACGGGGAAUUGGGUCAGCUCUAUCAGCGUUGGACUGACACCCUCACGAAGACCCUGGCUCACCUGGAGGCCUACAUUGACUUCAGUGAAGAUGACAAUAUUGAGGACGAUGUCCUUGCUCAAGUGGAAAACGCUGUCAAGGAAUUGGAGAAGGAACUGACGGAGCAUUUACAAGAUGGUCGCCGCGGGCAGAGGCUGAGGGAUGGGGUCCACGUAGUCAUUGCAGGACCUGCUAAUGCUGGGAAGAGCAGCCUUCUCAACCAGUUGUGUCAAAAGCCAACUGCUAUAGUCUCUCCGGUGGCAGGGACCACACGAGAUGUGGUAGAGACUGCCCUGAACAUUGGCGGCUUCCCUGUGGUGCUGAGCGACACGGCAGGCCUGAGAGAGACCAUAGACGUGGUUGAGAUGGAAGGAGUGAGCCGGGCUCGGCAGAGGGUCCGCGAUGCUGACCUUGUUCUGGUCAUUUUGGAUGGGAAAGUAGCAGCUGAACAGCCUGACCACUUAACUAUGUCCAUGGUAGAUGUCCUGUCUCCCAACGAGCCAAAUGAGAUGCAGCCUUACCUUCUGGUUCUGAACAAAAUGGACCUACUCGGAGAAGAAGACCAAGCAGAUCUCCUGAGGGCCUGUGAGAGACUUGGUGUAGGCCCUGCCUGCUUGUUGUCCUGCAAAACUGGAGAUGGGAUUGUGGCCUUCCUGAAUGCAUUGCAGGAACACCUGGCACACAUGUGUGGAGAUCCCCGAACUGGUUCCCCCAGUCCAACACAAGCACGUCACCAGCUCAGCUUGCAGAAGUGUUUGGAGGCCCUCAGAUGCUUUGCUGAGUACCAGCUUACCGAUCUGGUGUUGGCUGCGGAGCAGCUGCGACUGGCACGGCGACAACUAGGGCGGCUGACCGGCCAAGUGGGCACCGAAGAGCUCUUGGCAAUCAUCUUCAAGGACUUUUGUAUUGGCAAGUGAAGGAGACCCACCAGCUAUGAACUAGUCAGCACAUGGCGCCAUCCAGAGGCUGAAGACCUGUCUGCAUGAAGGCUUCAUGCUGGGAAAACAGCCACAUUUCCUGCUGCGGGACGCUGAGCGGAAAAUCAAUUCAGGAAGUGGCUGACUGGAGUUUCCCUUCUCAGGCGGCUCUCAGCCCAUCUGUAAUCAUAAAGACAAUUGGGAAGCAGAUAUUUCCUGGGGAGCAAUCGCCAUCUCCCUCCAGAGGCAGCCUUGGGAGUGGUGGAGUCGGGUGUCUGCUACAGCAGCUUUCCCUAACCUGGCGCCUUCCAGAUGUGCUAAGGAUUUUGUGAGUUGUGAUCUCAAUGCAACCCCUCCCUGACCAUGUUGGGGAGCCUACAGCAGAACUGCAGGAUUUGCGUGGAAUCCACACAUCCUGCGUCCUUCUAUAGACCUUUUAAAACAAGAUGCUUCAUGCUGGGUGUAUCCCUCAUUACUCUGAAUGAGGCGGUAUCCUGUUUCGUAAUCACAAUUUCUACAGGUAAUCCUCAAUUUAUGACUAUAAGCAAGCCCCAAAUUUUCAUUGCUAAGCAAGACAGUUGUCAAAUGAAUCUGGCUUCCUCAUUGACUUGACUCGUCAGAAGGUCGCAAAAGGUUAUCACAUGACCCCAGGAUAGUGAACAAUCCUGUGGUGAAAUCCUACCAGUUCACACAGAUUCAGGCGAACCGGUAGUGAUAAAAUCCACCAGUUCAGUGAACCGGUAGUAAAAAAAAAGCUACCAGGUGGUCGGAAUGUAUUUCCGACGAUCAGCUGUGCCGUGCGAUUUGGAUUCGCUAGAAAGUAGGAACUCCUGCUUUCUAGCGAAUCUAAAUUGUGCGGCACAGCUGUUACCCCCUCACUGUUCUUCAAAUGGCUCCUUUUUCUGCCCGAAGCACGUGUUUGGUGUGCACUGCGCGUGCAUGCAGCGUGCAUUUGGUGUGCACUGCACAUGCGCGUGCAGUGUACAUCUGGCGUGCACCGCCCGUGCGCGGGGAGCAAACCGAUGGUGACCCGCGGAGGAUUUCACCACUGGAACAAUCAUAAAUACAUGCCAGUUGCCAAACAUCUGAAUUUGGUUCACAUGACCACAGGGAUGCUGUAAUUGUAAGUGUGAAGAACAGUCAUAAGUCACUGUUUUCAGUGCCAUCGUAACUUGAAGAGUCAAUAAAUGAACUAUUGUAAGGUAAGGACUAACUGUAUAAAUUAUUCCAGAGGAAACUGGCAUAGCAUGCAGUUUAUCUAUUUAGCAUAUGGCAUAUCAUACAUGGACUAGCAAUAUAUAUUAACAUUUCACCUAGAUUAUGUCAUGCAGAGGAAAAGAUUAAUCUCAUACUCUUUGAUUUACAACCAAUCACUUAGGUACCAUUCAAGUUACGAUGGACUUCCCCAAGGAGUACUUACAACCAAGAUCCAGAGUUCUGAUGUUUGUCCCCCUCUUUAUGACUCCUUUGCCAAAUAACAGAAAUAAAUGCUGGUUUUCUCUAAAACCAGCCCAUAACAAACCAUCAGUUUACUUCAUGACUGCAGCAUUUGCUUAAUGCCCACUGUCAUUAAAAGGGUCAUUUGCUUUAUGACCAUCAUGAGUUAUGAUCAUUAUAGUCAUAAGUCGAGAACUACCUGUACAAAAGCUGAUUAGGAAUUAUUGAGAAUUCUACCCAACUAAAAGAGUUGAUUGUCCAUAACCAGGUCUGUCUUGGUUCGGUAGAGGUGACAUGAUAGCAGUGUUCCAAUAUCUCAGGGAUUGGCAUAAAGAAGAGGGGAGUCAAGCUAUUCUCUAAAGCACCUGAAGUCAGGACAAGAAACAAUGGAUGGAAAUUAAUCGAGGAGGGAAGCAGCCUAGAGCUAAGGAGAAAUUUCCUGACAGAACAAUUAAUCAGUGGAACAACUUGCCUCCAGAGGUUGUGAAUGCCCCAACACUGGACGUUUUUAAUAAGAGAUUGGACAAUAAUUUGUCUGAAAUGGUAUAGGGCAGUGAUGGCUAACCUUUUUGCCAUCACGUGCCAAAACUGGGGGGGAGCAAGGGGGGGUUUGAGCACGCCCAUAAUUCAAUGCGCCCCACCCCCUGUGAAUGCACGCACGACCCCCCCCUGUGCAACCCUGCUUUUGGCACGCAAUG